rnacentral:sRNA from 1 species
UUCGUCUGUAGUUUAUAGGAUGAGACAAAACUGUCGGGAACAGUUUUGAACAACGCUUUAGCGUUGGCCCGCCAGGGGGAGCGCAGCGAGACAACGUUGCGUUAGCAACGGCCCGCAGGGCGGCAUCGCAGAUGCAAGUCAUCCUCUCUCGCCGACCA